rnacentral:rRNA from 1 species
GAUAUUCCCGUACACGAAAGGGCACACAUAAUGAUGACGAGUAGGGCGAGGCACGUGAAACCUUGUCUGAAUAUGGGGGGACCAUCCUCCAAGGCUAAAUACUCCUGACUGACCGAUAGUGAACCAGUACCGUGAGGGAAAGGCGAAAAGAACCCCUGUGAGGGGAGUGAAAUAGAUCCUGAAACCGCAUGCAUACAAGCAGUGGGAGCACCUUCGUGGUGUGACUGCGUACCUUUUGUAUAAUGGGUCAGCGACUUAUAUUCAGUAGCAAGGUUAACCGUAUAGGGGAGCCGUAGAGAAAUCGAGUCUUAAUAGGGCGUUUAGUUGCUGGGUAUAGACCCGAAACCAGGCGAUCUAUCCAUGAGCAGGUUGAAGGUUGGGUAACACUAACUGGAGGACCGAACCCACUGUCGUUGAAAAGCCAGGGGAUGACUUGUGGAUAGGGGUGAAAGGCUAAUCAAGCCUGGUGAUAGCUGGUUCUCCCCGAAAGCUAUUUAGGUAGCGCCUCGGACGAAUACCAUAGGGGGUAGAGCACUGUUUCGGCUAGGGGGUCAUCCCGACUUACCAAACCGAUGCAAACUCCGAAUACCUAUGAGUACUAUCCGGGAGACAGACUGCGGGUGCUAACGUCCGUAGUCAAGAGGAAAACAAUCCAGACCGCCAGCUAAGGCCCCAAAAUCAUAGUUAAGUGGGAAACGAUGUGGGAAGGCAUAGACAGCUAGGAGGUUGGCUUAGAAGCAGCCACCCUUUAAAGAAAGCGUAAUAGCUCACUAGUCGAGUCGGCCUGCGCGGAAGAUGUAACGGGGCUAAAACUAUGUGCCGAAGCUGCGGAU